CAGAGGGUGCGAGCGUUGUUCGGAAUUACUGGGCGUAAAGCGCGCGCAGGCGGCCCUUUAAGUCUGUCGGUCAAAUGCCGGGGGCUCAACCCCGGGCGUGCCGAGGAUACUGGAGGGCUGGAGACACGUAGAGGCAAGCGGAAUUCCGGGUGUAGCGGUGGAAUGCGUAGAGAUCCGGAAGAACACCGGAGGCGAAGGCGGCUUGCUGGGCGUGAUCUGACGCUGAGGCGCGAAAGCGUGGGGAGCGAACAGGAUUAGAUACCCUGGUAGUCCACGCCGUAAACGAUGGGCACUAGACGCUGGUGGGAUCGACCCCUUCGGUGUCGCAGCUAACGCGAUAAGUGCCCCGCCUGGGGAGUACGGCCGCAAGGCUG
rnacentral:rRNA from 1 species